UCCAAGUUCCCCCUAUUCUUAUUCCUUAAAUAGUGUACUAUAUAGUGCUCACUGUGCAGGGAAUGAGUGUAUAAGAGAGCCAAAUCGAACACAGCUCCUGUUACGGCUUGAUAACAUUGUUUGAGUUGAUCCCCAGAGCACUGGUGACAGAACAGUAGAUGAGAUCUUCAUUGACAAUUUAACUUGCAUUUAAUCCGUCUUUAUUUUCCACCAUUACUCAGUUAACGCAUCCACAUUUGAAUGAUGUCAAAGUGGUUCUAAAAGUUUGGUCCGCCAUUACAAUUAGAAAUACUUGCAUAAAGAGGACAUUUUAGUUAAACUAAAUCUACCAACAAAAAGACCAACUCCAAUGAAUCAUUGCCUGGUUUGGUUAACCCCUUCCUCUAUUAACCUCUUCUAAACGUACUCACCAAUGCAAUUGAAAAGAAACUGAACCCAUGAAGUGUAAUAAACACCAAAGCAGACUGAGGGCCGGCCGGAGAGCUGGUGAUUCCACCAGUGAGUCAUGCCAUUCCCCCCGCCGCCAGGGGGAUCGUCAGAGGCAGUUGUCUUUUCUCUCCCACUGCAAAAAUCAAGGGCCCGGCGGUCUCCAUGGCAACAGUGACAACAUCCAACCAGGUUAUGAAGGCCAUCUGCAGGGAUGGGUCUCUGCAGCAGCAGAC